GCAGGUUCAGAUACAGAUUGCAAGGAGAGAUAAUAGAAUUGGUUUUCCAAGCCUGAUCAUGCUCGGAAGACAUGGUCUGUGCUUUUCAGGAAUCCACUUCAACGGAAUCAGCCUUGACGAGCACACACAAGAAAUAAUAUUGCUGCCAUCCAGCUUGUGUCUGCGGUACAGCAUCCUCGGCUUGCCUUCAAGUGCCCACGGUCCCUCUCCAUCAGUGUGCAUAUGGAAAAGUCCACAUUGCUCAAGCAUUUCUUCUGAGAUGCCGCCCUCCCAUUGUUCUUUUAAGGAAAUUUCUUCCUGGCAGCGUGAGAGGGGCACUGCCUCCUACCCCCCUUCUGCCUCGGCGGAACAGUUGACCACAGCAGCAGCCGACUCCGGCUCGUCAUGUGCUUCCUCAUGUGAUGUAGGUCUGCGGCACUGUGGAGCAACCGCAUUUGAGACUCGGCACUCGUGGACAGACGGGCGUUCAGGGACUGGGGAGUUUUUGGAGGGGGUGGGGAGGCCAAUAAACCAAGAAAACGUCAGAAAUAAAAGUCGCAUCAAGUAUGCUGAUCUCUGUUUUCCUAUUUUUGUUUUGAAAUUUGAUUUUAACUAUUGCUUCUUCUGGUUGUGUCUAUUUUUUUUUUCAUCCCCACAGGCGCCGAGCUGCGCUGUUUUCUUUCUUUCUUUUUUCUUUUUUUCAUUUUCUUUUUUUGAAAUUCUGAAGCCAGACCAUCUUCUUCACAGCUCCAGGGCUGCAUCACUGUGGGCACACCAGGCUUCGCCUGCCUCACCUGCGUGGUUCCUGCUGACUCCCGCCUGAGACGGCCCACCAUACACCCAGAACCACGGAAUCGCCUGUACGUGCCCUGCAGAAGAAGGACCUGAUACAAGCUCUGGCCAGGGUCUCCUCACAGCUGGAUGGGGGCCUUGGAAGACAGUUGCAGAAGACUGGGAUGGGAUGCUAAGGGCACGCAAAAGACCGGGAAGGGGAAUUUAGGAAUACUAUACAUCAAUGCCCACCGAUGCUAUGCAUACAGGGCGAGGGCAGCCGGAGCCCCCUGCCUCGUGUACCCAGCUCUGGCUGCUCCUGGGAUUAGUCUGAGGGUACAACCCAGGCCUGGACGUGGUGGCAUUUUCCCAGAAAGCCGAACUGAAGAAGGAUGAAGCAGGUUGUGCUAGAGGGAAUUCAGAAAGGCUGUGGAGAGAGAGAGAAAAGAAAGACAGGGUAAGGUAUAGAUGGGAGCAGGCUGAGAGAGCCCUAAGACAAAGCAGAACUUCAAAGCUGCAGAGACGAGCAGAAUGUCAGCAGCUUGUAAUUAGCGGUUCAUGGUUGCGUCAGAGACUAUCUCUCCAAGAAUAACUGUGUGAUGUGUGCCCCAGCGUGCGGAAGACAGUCAUAACUGAGUUAUCAAGCAUAGUUCACGCAAGGGCAGAUGCAUGAAGGCAUUUUCGGUUUGAAAAUCAAGUAUGGCUCUCCCUGGCUGGAUGCUGCCUAACUUCUGGCAGAGUGAUCAGCGCGUCAGAGGGAAUGUGUUUAUUACACAAAACAGUGAACCUGGAAGCAUACAGAUUGAGUGUGCAAGCCCUGUCACUGUAAGACACCGUCCCAAACAGCCCCACACUGCCCUGCUGGGCUCCGGUCUCUGUAUAUACCCAUCACUUUUGUUUGCGUUUGCGCAUGUCAGUGGAGGCAAGCCAAAAGUGCACGCAAGUACCUGUGCUCCAUUAGAUUCUAAAAUCUCUACCAGAGAAUUAAAAACUGACUGUGGGCUCUGAGUUUUUUGGUGUCCUUAAUUUAUAUCUUGAAGAAGCGUUUGUUGUCUUGAAGGCAAACAGCGUUUUGUUAGUGAUCCCGUGGGGAGGUGUCAUACCACAGUCACUGAGAGUUGGAAGGGCACCUUCACUCCUCCACCUUGUCUCUGCUGUCUGGAGGUGCUGCCGCUGGCUCCAGCCUCCACAGAGAGCCGCUGGGAGGAGCUGAUUGGUUGACAGGCUCGGGGUGUUUACUCUUAUUUGUUUUCAGUGCUCCUCUGCAGCAUGCAUUUAGUAUUUGUAUUUGUGUUCAUGCUGCACAAUUACUCCUGACCGGCUUUGUUUCUCUGCCCGAAGUGAAGUCAAUUUUAGUUCAGCCUCUGCAAUUGGGUCUCUGGGCAAUAUGCACAUAUGUAUUAUGUUACCCUUGUAUGCACUUUCCCGUUUAAAAUGUGGGUUAGGGAAAAUUGUAGGCAAGGAGAACCAUGUAUAUUAAAUCAAUAGCUUUUUGAAUCACAUGUAAUAUAAUUUAAAUAUACUCACUUUAAGGUUGCCAAAGCCUAUGUUGUCUGAGCCCCGUUAAUUUACAUCUUUGAUUUAGUCAAGGAGUGGAACCUGCCAGAUCAGAAUGCUGUAUUCUGUGCACCCAACAGGGUGGAAGACAUUAUUUUGUUUGUGUUAGUUCAAACAGCUGGUCAUUAAUGCAGUCCCCAUUUCUAGAGUGAAAUGCUGGUGGACAUGAAUGGCUGUCUGAUUAAUGCUGCCCCUCGGAGGGUCCUUCACCCAGCCAUGCUCGUGCAGAAUAAUGUAGCAUGAUGUGAUUGCACUCUAACAGGAUAGUAUGUCAUUGUGUCACCAAGCAAUUGAGGUUAUUAUGGGGCAGGGCAGACAGACGGGACAGUGGGGUUACUAGACCGUAGCAUUUUUAGAAAUACAGGCCUGACCUACUUAGAGUUAUUCUGGCAGGCAACUGCACGGUACAUAAAGUCUCCUGAUAGGCUGAGGCUGUUGCUAGGGGGAAUUAGCAUGAAUUUUUCCACACACAGACUCAGCGACUGAAUGAUAAAAGCUGACUGGAAUUAAAGAGAUUUGGUUUAGCAUUGUACAGAUUGAUCUGCCUCAGUUUUUUUUUUUCUUUUUCUUUUCUCAAGUGCAGAGAAAAAGUGCAGGAAUAGAGAUUUUUGUUUCUAUUUGUUCUUUGACCUUCUCCGUCUCUCCCUCUUGUCCUUCACCCCCCAGAGCCAGGAGGGGAGGAGAGCAGAUCAGUUAUGAAAUUUUGGUUAAUUUCUUACUGCAGGGAUCUUUGAAACCAUGUUGCAAAUAGCAAGAUAGUCAAGCUUGAGGGCUGCUGGGUGUGCCUCACAGAAAGGCUGAUGCUUCUUUUCUUGUCCCCUGUGUAACAAGCUGUCUUGCAGUUGGGCAAGCAUCUUCCAUACACUGUAUAUUUUAUCCUCCCUUUCCCUUUUGGGCUUGAACAAAACAUUUACAUAAAUUCUUUUCUAUCCAAACAGAUUGAAACUUGCAAUUGCUGGCUUGUUUAAAAUAAGAUAGACAAGAUUCCAGAUUUAGACAAGAAAAAAAUAUAUAUAUUACUUUUUGAUUAUAAAAAUAUCUCUUUCUGGUCUAUUUUUGUAUUUUGAAAAGCCUAGUCUGAUGUUUAUGCUCAGGCAUAGAAUUUAACUCCACCCACCCUUUUGUUUCCCAGUAUACAAAAUGCACUGGGUUUUUUUGUUUGUUUGUUUCAUUUUUUUGCUUUCUUUUUUUUUCUGCCGGAGAAAGGGUAGCUGCAGAAAACAGUCUCGAGACUGUUUUUCCAUGUUGCUGACAUAGGCACUGCGUGUAGAGAGAGCUCACAUAAUCAGUUUUACAACUUGACCCAUUUCCCCCUCCCCAGCAUCCCCAAGUGUCUGCACUUUUAAUAGAUCUUUACAAGAGAGGGGUUUUAAUAGACCAUUUUAAGAUAAUCUGCAAGCCCAUCAAGACAAAAAUUAAACCAAUGUGUAUUCAAGAAUACUUGGAGUUUUUCUCUUUUAAUUAUAUGUUAUCUGUGGUGUUUGUGCUGAAAAUAGUCAUUAUCCUGACAUUUUUAUUUGAAAUUAAUUUUUGUAAGGAAGUACUAUGAGUUCACAAGUAAACAAGGAGCUGAGCUACAUAAGUGCUGGAGAGGAGAAAAGAGAACUGUGGUCAGAGUGUCCCACUGAAUUUCUUGGCCAUGUGUAAAGAGGCAAGAGAAUAUUUAGUUGUGGAUUUUCUUUUUUCUUUUAGGUUUUUUUUUUGGUAUUCACAACUAUGUAGAUACAGACACUAUAGUGAAAACAAGCCAAAAAUAAUUCAGUGGUAUCUAAUCAAGAAAGCCACUGAUUGUCCUCUUUAAAAAAAAAUCCAUUGAGUGUUGUUUCCAUUUUAGCAUCUAAAUACAGCUUAACAAGCUGAAGGAGAGAAUGUUGCCUGAUGGAGGGAUGAAUUGUGCCCUCACUAGCUAGGAGAUUCCCCACAAUAGCAUUAAUCAUAAGGAGCUCCAACCACACAACAAUCCUUCAUAGUUGAAUAAAAGGUCAAUUUACUUUUGCUGAAUAUAAAAUAUCCUUGUGUUCUAUUACUUCCGAAAUGAUGCAAUCUUUUCUUACAAAAUUAUUUUCAUAAAUGAACUUUUUGCCCUUUCUUCUGCCAUAUUCACUUUGCUUAAGUCAAUAUAAAAGUAUUUAAAUAUUUAAGCGCAAGGAUAUAGAAAUAAAACAUCAAUUUUAAAGCCACUAAAGUAAGGACAUAUUUUACAUUAACAUCUUCAAUGCACAGAUCUCUAAUUUGUAAAGCUUAUAGCCUGUGUCCAGGUAUGUAGUCACAGUGAAUGUUUGUUGUUUAAUGAAGACAAAUUGGCUACAUUGAAUUGUUCAAUAUAAUCUUUCUUGGACGUUUAGGUUGUUAAAAAGUUUUCUUCUUACUUUGGUUUGCAACCGUUACUAGAGAGGCAACAUUCAGUGCCAACAAAAAUAAAGAGAGCAUACUUUUAAAUGUAAUUUAUGCUUACUUAACUUCAGUUAAACUUAACUCUAGACAUUCACUUAGUGUGUGUCAAUAGUAUUCCCUUCAUCCACUGCCAUUGAUUAGGCAGCCAAGGGAACAAGCACACUCACUCAUUGCAUUGAUUAUUUAUUAGGUGAGCAUUUCUUUUCUGCUCGCACAUGAAGCUGGCUUUUCCAGUUCUAUGGCCCAACAUAGAACAGUGAACGUUGGGGGUAAUCCGGUAGGUAGUUGUUGGGGUCACCAAGCCCAGUUAGAUGCCAAGUAAAAUAUCUCCCUCAAAUAUUCUGUCCAAACUUUGAUGUCACCUAAUCCCUGAAGCUUGGUGAAAGGACUGGUGGCUUUACUACCUAGUGCUUGGAGGUGUUGGGCUCUUUUUAUCUCACCAGUAAGCUACAGCUCUUUCAAACCAUCCCAACACUUGAUCUUAUUGUAGCAGUGAGGCUGUGUCUUUGUGAAGUCAUGUUAGCAUACUCUAGUGCAGAGACUUUUCAGCACCAUUGUUUGAACAGCUAGUAGUGUUUCAACAAUCUUAAGUGCCCAAAUUGUGUGCCAGCUGAGACCCUUAGCCCGAUACUGUCCUGUCUUCCUUUUCUUGCCUUCUCUUCUGUCAGCCUCUUUCUCCCAAAUUUCCCAACCUAUUAUGUGCAUGUGCUAGGUGCAGAGAAAUUGGUUGAUUCAUGGAUGGAUGAAUGAAUGAGAAAAUUAAUGGUUAGCCAGUUGCUUAAAAAUGAGUAAAUUAAUGGUUAUUUAGAAGGAAAAUUUCAUAGAUUCCUAAUGCAGUUGGCUAUUUGUGGACAUACUUAGCAAUGAAAGUUCAAGUAGGCUUUGUGGGCUUCCCUGAUCUCUAUGUAAUUGCUCAACUUGCUUGAUAUAGCUAAAAGGCAGCAAUAGACAGUACAUGAAUGAAUGAGCCAGACUGCCUUUCAAUAAAACUUUAUUUACAGAAACUGGCGAUGGGGCAGAUUUAGCCUAUGCACUAUAGACACAAGUAUAUUCUUACCUAUAGUAUCUUGAAGAUAUGACAUAGGCGUGGUAGAAAUACUCCUCAAAAUAUUUUAAAAGGGGGGGUGAAGAUUUGAAAAGUUCACAAAAAUUAAGAAAAGAAGAAAGAUCAAUAUGAUUUAUAAUGUGAACUCAUUGCCGGCCAAGCAGGUGUUGAUUCUCUGUGAUGAUGGGAAUGAGGUGGAACAAUUUAUUUUGAAACUUGAGGAUUAAAGUAAACCUGACUACUCUUCCUUAAGAUGAUAUUGUUCAAGAUGCAAAGAAACAGAUUUUUUUUAACCUUGCAAAACUGCCAUUCUGGUGUUGGUUGCCAGGGGUGAAGAGUGAGUUCAUAUUCUAUUUGAAGAACUAACAGGAAAUCCAAAACAUGACGAAGAAUGGCCCCACAGCCGUGUGGAGAGAUGGAUGACUCAGUGGUUUAGAGGGCGAGCUGCUUUUGUAGAGGACAUGAACUCAGUUCCUAGCACCCCCGUAGGACAGACAGCUCUUAGCACCCCUUAGGACAGAGCAUCGCUGCCUGUAGUUCCAGCUCAGCAGACCUGACAGCCUCCUUCUGGACACAAUGGGCAUCUGCUUUGAAUGUGCACAUAUCCACACACAGACACGCAUAUACACACAGUGAGAAAUAAAAUAAGCAGCAGCAAAUGACCACAGCAUAGUCACAGCAUCGUGCUGGCCUGUACUACUGUUUCAUUAGUGUAAAUGCUGUAUUGAACUAGUUGCCCUUAUCCCUGGCGGUAUGAUUUAAAGACCCCAUUGAUGCCCAAAAUGGCAGGCUAUGCAGUGGGUGAUCUGCAAUGCAAUUUCCCCUACAAUUUUGGUAUAUACAUGUACUAAAGCUUCAUUUAGAAAUCUGUCAUAGUAAGACUCCUGAUAAGAUAUGGUAAUUGAAUUGUAAUAGAAAUUACACAAAAUGUGAUUUCUCUGUGUGUGCUGCUGUAUGUGGGUGACGUAUGCACAUGUGUAUGUGGAGGCCAGAGGUUGAUGUUAGGUGUCCUGCUCUAUUGUUCUCCACUUAAUUUUGCUGACACAAGAUCUCUCAUUGAACUCACCAGCUGGGCAACACUAAAGGUAAAUAUAGAGGUGACCACUAUACUGGGAAGGAUUGUGUGCUUAUUCCCUCUGAAGUUUUAAAAGUUGACUCUUGGAUUUUAGUUAAUUCUCUUUGAAGAAUUCUCUAGACACACAGCUUUUUUUUUCUGUCUGUUUGUAAGGCCAAAGGCAGAUGGAAACAAAAAAGAGGGCCACCCAUUCUAUUGCCCUAAGGCUAUACCUGAAUUAUUUUCAAACUAUGCUUAAGACUUAUCACUUCCAAAAAACUUGUCCUGGUCCAGUGGCUCUGGGGGAACACAGGUCUUCCAGCAUCUGUGAUUUGAUGUCUGGUGACUUCUUAAAGACUCUGCUUUCUCUGAAUCCUUUUCAGCACACAAAGGUGACUUAGAUUGUCCUAGAACACAGAACUCCUGCUAAAAUGUCAUUCACCUCUGUGUGACAAUACAUACCCCAGGCUGCAAAAUUGUGUCUUUCUUCAAUACCCAAUGAAGCCAUGUGUGUGUUCCUAGUGCCCAAAUAGUUGUGAAAUUAAUGGCUGCCAUAAAUUUGCCCAUUCUCAGUGUAUAUCCUAAUAAUUCAUGUUACACAUGUCACUUGGACUUUCGCUAAACUAUUAAUAGUGAAUAUAAAUUAAUGAUGAGAUUGAAUCUAUUCCAGCAGUCAUGGGAAAUGACUUAAAGAGACAGGGGCUUAUCCUUAGUCACAGAAUCAGUUAAGCUAAAAAUACAUAUAUUUCUUUGCCUUUUCCAGCGAUCAAAAACCACUCCUUCUACAUUUUUAUUUAGAUAAGAGAGCUGCAUGGGAGAUGAAAGAAGAAAACAGAUUUUUAAAAAGUAACAAAAACAGGUAUUGUUUUAAAAGCAAGAAUAAUCAUUAUUGUUUCAGGGGAAUAUAAUCAUGAAAGGUGUGGCAUAUUCCGAGUGAGAUGUUCUUGAUUGAGAAGCUUAAUAAAUGAAAAAUGUUCUGGAAAUAUCAGUUGAAUUUGAUACAUGAUAGUUUAGUUUGUCUUUAUAUCUUUUCUUAAUAAAAAGAAAUCCUUUGGUUGUCUAAUAGAAAUGUUAGAAAAAUGUUGCUUUGAUGCUUUUUAGGGCCUUUUCUUCCCAGCAAUGCUUAGUGCAUUCAGAGCAGAGGUGUGGCAGCAGGAGGGGUGGGGUGCGGCUGAAUGUCUCGGGUCUCCCUGGGGCUUUUUCCUUGCUAUUGCCAGUGGCUACAAAUGGCCACCAACCCCAGGGAAGUGAAUGGAACAGCAUGCCAGUCAAAGCCUCUUUGUACUCACUGCCAAUUGCUAGGUGUGAUUGAAUAUUUUUGAAAGAAGCCGAUACGUAAAAAUGGGCAUUUAGCUAGAGCCUUUUAGAAAUGAUCCAUUUCCUUCAUUUUCUUUUCAAAUCUAUUUGAUGCCAUGGUAUUGGACUCUGCCUACCCCUCUUAUUAUCUAAGCUAUUCAUCCAUACUAUAAAAGACACAUAGUAAGUACCAGGUAGAUGACAUUGGGCUUAGCAUGUUUUUCCUCCUCUAACUGCUAUAGAUUCCUGUGUUUUUGUCCUUGUUCUGUUACCAGGAGUCCUUGUUUCAUCUGAUUUUCCAGGCCAUAGUCAUUGAAGUUCAUAGCACAGGCCUCUUAUUUUCUGGGUCCAGUUACAAGCAUGAAGAAUGCCUGUAUUGUUUUGUAAGAAUGACUGCUGGCACCUUGAAAGUUACUGUGUACUCAGAGCAACAGAUAUGAAGGAUUUGUAAUGUUUUCAUUUUAAGGACUCCUUUUACACUUGGUUAUUGGAAGAACAUUCCACAGAGCUCUGCAUGUCAACUCAUUUCAACAGAAAACACAGAAAUAUUGGGCAUGGUGUUUAGCGAUCAUCAAUCUUGAUUAGUCAAUGGACUCUUAAGGAGGUGUGGAAACUGUUUUCAUUUAUUUGUUUUUUUUAUAACAGAUGCAAAUUUAAAUCGGAGGAGGCACAUAGCGAAAUAUUGGUAAUUUGAAGCCAAUUCAAAUGAGAGAGAGUAAACAGUUUGGAGAGAGUAUGUCUUCUCUUAGUCUGUGUUCCACCAGGUUAGGAUUUAGGGCUGGAGGUUGGCGGUCCUGCCUAGUUUUGAGUACUCACUGAGGCAAGCAGGGCCCUCUGUGUUUCCAGGCAUCCAUCCCUUUGGAAUUCUCUCAAGUACAGACAGGUAGGUGUGGCAGCACUGUGCCUUCAUAGCAUUGCUUAUUUUAAAAUCAGGGUUUAACACUGGGAGCUUGACUUGCUGUGAACCAACCCCAUUUACUUAUAUCUGUCCACAGUGGUAAGACCCUUAAAAUUAGUAUUUUCAUAGGCAUCAUAGCUGGGUAUGACCGUUGGUGGUCCUUCUCCUUUGAAGCUCGCAUAGUGGCUUCUGGCAGCAUAAAAGCUAGUCCUUGUGGAGGGACAUUUAGGUCAGUUUUAACUCAUACAUUCUGGGCCCUGUGUCUGAAGUGCAUGGUGUCCUCAUAGAAACUGACCUUCCACCUCUUGGAGCUAACCAAGGGCAACCACAAUAGGCUAUCUAUUUUGUCAGUUUCUUCUACAGCCCUGGCCAACAAUUGAAGGCUUCCCAGGUCUGAGAUCGUGGUUUCGUUAGUUGUUCUGUGGCUCUUGGAGAGAGUCCCAUCAGCAAGAUGAGAAAAGUUCAUUAAAACUGUAUAUGUGUAUUUGUGGACAUGCCAAACCGCACAGAGAAAAGCCCAUGAGUUCUCAACACUGCAUAAAGAACUAUAGCCAACUCAGAAAGCUGGGAAGAGGAGAAGUGGGCUUCCUCAGGCAGAGUGCAUCAAUUGGGUGCCCAGUGCCCUGAGAACAUACAUACAAGUAAACUCAUGUGGACCAAACAGGUUAUAUUUAGGAGUACAUAUAAGCAUGGGACAACAGCAUAUAAAGAGGCCACAGAUUUGAAGUAGUGUAUGGAGGGAUAUUUGGGAGGUUUUGGAGGAAGAAAAGGGAAGGGAUAAAUGUAGUUAUAUUAUAAUUUCAAAAAUAGAAAAAACUUUAAAGAUGAUUAGUAUUUUCUCAAUAUAGGUCAGUUGUGAAAGCAAAGGUCCAGAAUUGAUGUUAUCUGUGUCUACAUUUGUCUUUCCCUCUUUCUUUUUUCUUCUUUCAUUUCCUUCUUUCCUUUUCUUUUUCUCUUCCUUCCUUCUUUCUUUCCUCUCCUUCCUUCCUUCCUUUCUUUUUCUUCCUUUCUUCCUGUAUUUUAAAUUUCAUCUGAGCACUAAUGACUAAUAGAGAGACUCUGUCUUUAAAUGUCCACAUUGCAUUGCUUUCAAGCCAUUCCACACAUACGCAGAGCACAUGGACAACCACCUGGUAUGUUCUUCCCUGUGGAAGACUACCUUUCCCAUUCUCUUCCUCUGUUGGCUACAGUUCUUUGGAGUUUCUUUGAUUCCUCACAUGAAACUCGAAAGGUUUCUCAUACAUGGUACUGGGGUUUGUUAGGAUGGCUAUUGAUAGAUUAUAUGUAUUACAUGUUAGGUAAAUAUAAAAUACUAUGAUUCUUUAUGGCCUAUUCAAACAUAUUUAGUGUUAUUUAUGAUUCCUCCCUCACUCUCCUUCUGUGUUGUCCCUCUUCUUUCCCCCAUUAAAAACCCACCCUGCUCUUUCCCUUUCCCUCUUCACCUGUACCCUGAAAAUCCCCCUCUCUAGAGCUCCUUUCAUACUUCCACGGUCCCUUUUUACUUUCCUAGUCUCUGCAGCUACUCACAUCUGAGAAUUUGGAACUAGGGAUGACAAAUGAGAGACAAUAUGCAACAUUUGUUUUUCUGGGGCUGAGUUACCUCACUCAGUACACUGUUUUCCAGGUCCAUCCAUUUACCUGCAAAUGUAGUGAUUUCAUUUUUAACAGCUAAAUAAUAUUCCAUUUUGUAUAUGUAUGAUAUUUUGGUUAUUCAUACAUCAGCUAAAGAACAUUUAGGUUGUUUCCUUUUCCUUGAUAUUGUGAAUAGAGUGGCAAUGAACAUGAUAUCCUAUAUUUUUGGAGAUUCUAUAUUUUUCAGCUGUAACCAAAGUCUCUCUUUACUCAGUCAUGGCUUAAAGUGUGUCAUGAACUUAGGAAGAGUUUCCAGGCAGACUAAUGACAUCACAGAUGAAGUUAUGUCAUGAAGAACUGUUACUCUGGAGACAUUUUCCAUAGUAAAGGUAAGAGGAAGAAGAGUUCCAAGUCUUGAAAUCUACCAGAUUUCUCCAUGCUUUUGUUUCUGGAAUAUCAUAUUAGAUAUACUUACUUUGAACCAGUAUUUAUACUGGGGGAUUUGGAUGAAAGUAAAAAUUUAAAUAUGCAGCAAAAAAGAACAGAAAUUUGGACUACAUGUUGUCUAAUAUUUUAGCCAUUUGUCCAAUUGAGGCUACUGAAUAUCGUGGCUGGAAACGUAUUGGCACUAGCUAUUGGUCACUGUGUGCUGGGAACAUGGCUGUACAAAUGGAGAUGUUCUGUAAGGAUACAAUUCACUACAGAGUCUACCAACUUACCAUGAUAAAGGAAACGUGAACUAGUAUAGCUCAUCAAGGUAAAUAUUGAUGAUGGCAUUAAAAGUGAUGAAUGGUAUAAUACUAGUAUUUUUGAUGUAUUAAAGUUUACAAUUUUUACAACUGCUAUUUAUUUUGUUUCCUUUUAAGACAGUCUCAUAUAGCCCAGACUGGCCUUGCUCUCACUAUGUAGCUAAUGAUAACUUUGAAUUUCUGAUCCUCUUCUUACCUUUGCCACCUGAGUGCUGAGAUUAAGUGUGUCUGCAUUUGUUGAGGCUUGAAUCCAGGGCUUCAUGAGUGCUGGAUAAGUACUCUAUCAACUGAGUCAACUCCUUUUUGCUUUUGCUUUAAAAUGUGGCUUCUAGAUACUUUAAAAUAAUACACAUGCCUUAUAUUCCAUUUCUAUUGGACAAUGCUCCCCUAUAAUAAUCUGUUAUCAUUUUUCAUGUGGAAGCUGUCACUGUGUCCCAGGAGCCUCAUAGAUACCAUUACGAUUGUGAAUGAGGAUACUGAUGGAAUGUGGUGAGCAGCAGAAGUCAGGAUACUCUGAAGUCACUCUUAAGAUUGAUCCUGCAUGAGUCUCUUCUGGAAGCUGUUAGCUUUGCACACACACACACACACACACACACAGAGAGAGAGAGAGAGAGAGAGAGAGAGAGAGAGAGAGAGAGAGAGAGAGAGAGAGAGAGAGAGAGAGAGAGAGAUCUUUUCAUUCCAAGGAACUGACCCAGAAUUCUUGCAGGCAAUCCAGAGGUGAUACAGUAGGCUACCAAUUUACAGUGAAGAAAAGAAUUGAAAUCAAUUUUCAAGAACUCACUCAUCUCAUUUUUAGUGCUGUUAACAUGUGGGUCAGAAAAUUCUCUGUAGCAGAUACCAAUGUUUCAUGGGCAAUUCAGCAUUGCCCCAACAUCUACAUGUUAGUGAGAAGCACCACUACAUAGCCUACCAAUGGCCAAGGAUAAGAGACUAUGGAAAUUGUAUGUCAAUAGAUUUGAUGAGCAAGAUGAAAUGUAAAAGCUGAUGAAAAGACCAGAUGUCAAAAUUAUUCAAAGAGGAAAUAGAAACUUUGGAUCCACUGAUGUCAAUAAAAAAAGUUGUAUAAAAUUACUUUCAGGUCAUGUAUAUAUGAAAUGUGAGUUGUGUACAUAGACUUGAUUCUUAUUCCCAAGAUACUUCAUGCUAGACCUGCAAGCAUUACUGUCUGAAAACAAAUCCCAAAGAUGAAAGCCUUCUAGUCUGUCCUCCCAAGCCUUUCACGCUGCCUGCAUACAGAUGCAACUGCUGUGAUUCAUGUACUGAUAACUCAUCCAUGUCACAUUUAAAUUAUAUUAUUACUAAAAAUACAUCCUACAAAGCACUUGUCUACAUACUAUGAAACGUAUUUGUAAUAUAUAUUUGCAGUGGCGUAAUAUGUUAUAUCAUAUUAAAAUGCUAUGUUUAUAAUGUACUGUAUAAUAAGUGUGGAUUGCCUGGAUUUUAAAGCACCAAGGCAUAGUAAUAGAUAACAAAAUUUUCUGUCAAAAUGUAAACCUUUGUUUGAGAAUGCACAAUAUAAUCUUACAACCAGCCAUAAAUCAUAAAUAUCAAUUUUGACCACAUUAAGAAAGCUCAAAAUUGCUAGGGGAAAAAAAAACCUUCUGGUUGAUGGAAGACCACACAUUCAUGUUUUUAUUAUAAUUUGUUCCACAGGCCGAAGUCAGGAUUGUCAAAACCCUGCAGGCAACAUUAAAGAUUCUGAAACUUCGCUGUCAUUCUCACUCCCAUGAUAUUAAACAGAAUGCAAACACAGAAAAGUA